ensembl:snRNA U6 U6 spliceosomal RNA
GUGCUAGCUUUGGCAGCACAUAUACUAAAAUUAAAAUGAUACAGAGAAGAUUAGCAUGGCCCCUGCGCAAAAGAUGCCAUGCAAAUUCAUGAAGCGUUCCAUAUUUUU